rnacentral:sRNA from 1 species
ACUUUUACAGUAAUCUGUUAUGAUGAAAAUGGCAACAUUUGUUUUAGAAUGUAAUUGUACAUAUGGAAUCAUAUACUAUAUGAUAUAGUAUCUAGUCACAUUAGCAUUUCCACACAAAAAAGUCACUGAUGUACACUUUGUUGCAUCUCCACAAGCGUUUGUAACACCUCAAAACCAAAAAGUAAACCAUGCAAUAUUGCUUGUACAUUUAUAUGUAAAAUCAUAAAAUCAUGACCUUUUCUUCAUAUCUGUUAAAUUUUUUUUGGAACAAAAAAAGGAACUCUUUUGACAUUCCGUUUUUUAAAACAAUCUUGGCGAUGCUCUGUGGUUUUGUGCAAUACUUUUCAUAUAUAGUUUUUAUACAAUCAUGCUUGCUUUUCAGAAUAUUUGAACACCUAACAGUGCUGUACAAAAAAAUAUACUGAUCUCUUUUCUUGUUUUAUUAGUCGCUGCUUAAAACAUCUGUAUCAAAGCAUAUUAUACAUACCUUUGUGUUAUUUCAAAGUUUUCUGUAUAUCAUAAAGACAUGUAUUAGUAAUUGAUGAAACUAUCUGUUAACAUACAUAGCUUUUCUUAGCAUUGUUUUGGUUUGCAUUACUAAAUUUGUUACUUCACUAUCCAAAUUCUGAAUUAUUAAGAUAUCUGUAAAUUUUUCCUUUCAAACGCAAUAGUUUAUGUUUAUAUCAAUCAAAUCCUUACAAAAUUUUAUGUGAAAUAUGAAAAAGGGUCAACAUUAAUUUGAGUGACACUUUAAACUAUUUGUACCGAUGGCUUAUGGCCUCUAUUUUACGAACCUAUGGCUCUACAACUUACAUAUUGUAUUGUUUUAAUCAGUAACUUGUUAUUGAAUGUAUCGGAUAUGUACAUUUAUUUGUUACAGAGUUUAUUGAUUGUAUUGUAGCGUUUUGUUUCACGAGUUAUAUUUAUGACAGCACUUUCUCAUCUUGUUCCUAUUAUCAUGCCUUACAUUUGUUGUUUUUUUUUUUCCUUCAGGUUUUGAUGGAAAUAUAUCAAUUAAGUUG